rnacentral:rRNA from 1 species
CACGUAGGGGGCGAGCGUUGUCCGGAUUUAUUGGGCGUAAAGAGCUCGUAGGCGGCUCGGUAAGUCAGGUGUGAAACCUCCAGGCUCAACCUGGAGACGCCACCUGAUACUGCCGUGGCUAGAGUCCGGUAGAGGAGCGUAGAAUUCCUGGUGUAGCGUGAAAUGCGCAGAUAUCAGGAAGAACACCCGUGGCGAAGGCGGCUUUCUGGGACGGUACUGACGCUGAGACGCGAAAGCGUGGGAGCGAACAGG